AAAGGCCCAACCACACGCGGUGAAUCGUGCGCGCCUGGCUGCGCGUCACGCGUCUGCGAGGCCGUACGCGCCUGUCCUACGCGUCUAGAGAGGGCAGACGCGCAGGAAACGCGCGCGUCAAGGAGGUCUUGAUCUUGGGCGUCAUUUUGAGCGUACGCGACGGAAGUGGCAGCUUGUGCACUGACGUCCCGUGGGCCGCAUGUACACUUCCGGUGGUUCAGAAAGGUUGUUGAAGUUUCAGAAUCGUGCGGAGACGCCGGGAGUCGCUGCUGGUUUCGUGUCGAUAGAGCACAGAGUCUAUGGAGGCGAUCAACAACGAAUCACUGAUCGCCUGCGUUGAGGCUCGACCUGCGCUUUGGUAGCAGGCGAAACACAAGCGCCACUAGAACAAGCACUUGACGAGGUGGUCGUGGAUCGUCAUACCCAACGCUGCCGAACAGAUGACGUUAUCACAGCGCUGCAGAAGUGAUGGAUGUCCCUGGGGAAUAAAUUUCGGCGCCUGGGAAGACGUUUCAGAAAGAAAAGAGCCGCGCCGUGCCAGUCGACGUUCACGACGACGUCAUCUGGCUGUUUUUCGACCAGAUGAUGUUUCUGCGCUACACAAUGGAGUGUAGACCGAGCAACACAUGGUAUUACAGAAAUAUCUGCAAGGAUGGAACCGUCAAGUGUUUUGACUGUUUCACAGCACUCGGCAUAUAAUGAUGCAGCAAUUCCAUGGUCUUGGUGGCAGCAGCAUAGGACCCGCAACACGGCGCAUUUUAGGAAUUUUACUAAGCCAAGAAGUGGCUGAGCAGUACAGUUAGCUUGGCAAAAAAGAAAAGUUUUUCUGCACUGCAAGUGGCUGAAACAAUAACAAGGAAGGCAUUGGCUGCCUGAUUGUUUCUUUUGUCUUAAAAAGAAACUUGGUAGAAUAAUUUCCUUUCUCGCUAUAAAAAGUUAGACUUGUACGGGUUUACAAACUUCGUAAAUGUCAAGCUGAGGAGUCUUAAACCAGCUGAACCAUGUACUAUUGUACUUGGGCAAGCUAAGGUGGCUAAUAUGUAAUUUCCUGUUGUUUCUGGAUACUGUUAAUGUUUUGCUUUGAGCUUGUAUAUAGACAAUGUUGCAUAAGUAAUUUCCAAUGCAUCUUUGAGGGGCUGUAAGACAAAAUUUUCCUACAUCAAAAAGAAGCGAUGUCGAGAGUGUAAUGAAGGUGUGGCUGCGCCACUCUGACGAAAAACUGCGAAAACAGCUGGCCAAGGCUGCCACAUAUGAAGGCUCGCUGGAUGUGCUCUCAGAUUUCUCGGAUUAAAUGCCUCAAAGUUCAAGUACAGAGCCCAAUUUCAAGAGGAUUUAAUUUGUUCAAGAAUUAUUGCUGGCCUUGGCAAGGGCCAGCAGAGUCAUUCAUAAUAUUCUAGUCAGGAAACUGCAUAUCGUUGAAGAAAUGUUGACUU